GAUGAACGCUGGCGGCGUGCCUAAUACAUGCCAGUCGAACGAACAGACCAUGAGCUUGCUCCUCUCACGUUAGCGGCGGACGGGUGAGUAACACGUGGAUACCCUACCUAUAUGACUGGGAUAAUUUCGUAACACCGGAGCUAAUACCGGAUAAUAUAUUGUACCGCGGGGUGCAAUAGUAAAAGACGGUUUUGCUGUCUCUUAUCGAUGGAUCCGCGCCUCAUUAUCUGGUUGGUACGGUACCGGCUUACCAAGGCGACGAUGCGUAGCCGACCUGAGAGGGUGAGCGGCCACACGGGAGCUGAGACCCGGUUCAGACUCAUGCGAGGGGCAGCAGUAGGGAAUCUGACGCAAUGGGCGAAAGCCUGACGGAGCAACGCCGCGUGAGUGAUGAAGGUCGUGGGCGCGAAAAACUCUGUUAGGAGGGAAAAAGAAAUGUGUAAGUAACUAUGCAGGUCUAGACGAUACGUAAACAGAGAGCCGCGGAUAACCGCG
rnacentral:rRNA from 1 species